rnacentral:rRNA from 1 species
GACGAACGCUGGCGGCGUGCUUAAUACAUGCAAGUCGAACGGAUAUGCCCCUUUGGGGGUGCUCGGGUGGCGAACGGGUGAGUUACACGUCUAUAAUCUACCCUUGACCUCCGGCUAACUUCCGGUACUUGUCGCUCAUACCCUCUGGGGAUCCUUGCUUCAUGGAUGGGGUUGUAAAGCUUCGGCGGGCGUGGCUGGACUCGCGUCUUAUCAGCUUGUUGGUGGGGUAGUGGCUUACCAAGCCGUUGUCGGGUAGCCGGCCUGGGAGGGCGACCGGCCACAUUGGGACUGAGAUACGGCCCAGACUCGUACGGGAGGCAGCGGUGGGGAAUAGUACACAAUGGGCGGAAGCCAGAUGCAGCAAAGCAGCGUGCGGGAUGAGGGCCUUGGGGUUGUAAACCGCUUUCAGCAGGGGGGAAGAGUGUGGGGAGGGUACCCGCAGAAGAAGCACGGGCAAACCAGGU